GGCCGACACCCGGCACACACGUGGCAUUGGGAUGGGCUCUUCUCUUUUAUCCUGCUGUUUGUCUGGGCAGCAGCCACGUGAAGGCAGCAGCAUGGCCGAGGCCUCCCGGCUGGUUAGCGGCUGAGCUGUGAUUGGAACCCAAGUGUGUCUGUCUCCAGAACCCGCCCUCUGUCCACCACGCCACGCUGCCGUGAUUCCAGCUGCAUCAGGUCAAGUGCUGCUUCAUUGACAGCCCAGGAGGGCUUUUGUGGAAGCUCAGAAAGAAAGGUGCCCUUGAAUGUUCACUAUCUACUGCAGUUGAGUGUGAAACACAACAGCCAACCCGUGCGCCGGCACAGCCGCGAGUAAACAGCCCUGGAAGGACAUUUAUAGACUCUGGGGACAUUGCUGGAAAGCAUAUCACUGAAGCUUUCCCUGAUAAAGAAACAAGAAGUUUACUACCGAUCCUGCAGCUGAGGAGGGCCGUCUCCUGGUGGACAAUUUCGGUCCCUCUGAGACUCUGCAGAGAGCAAAGUGAGGCCAGAGUUGUCCGAUGGAGUUAAAGUUUGUUGUAUUUAUUUUUUCAUAUUGGCAAAGAAUCAGAACUUUGAACUUCCAACAGAAAAAUACACAAAAUUA